UACGUAGGUGGCAAGCGUUGUCCGGAUUUAUUGGGCGUAAAGCGCGCGCAGGCGGUCCUUUAAGUCUGAUGUGAAAUCUUGCGGCUCAACCGCAAGCGGUCAUUGGAAACUGGGGGACUUGAGUACAGAAGAGGAAAGUGGAAUUCCACGUGUAGCGGUGAAAUGACGUAGAGAUGUGGAGGAACACCAGUGGCGAAGGCGACUUUCUGGUCUGUAACUGACGCUGAGGCGCGAAAAGCCAGGGGAGCGGAAUGGG
rnacentral:rRNA from 1 species